CCUUACUGCUAUCGGGGUGGGACUAAGACAUGCUGAGUCGAGCGUCUCUAGCUAUGUUGACUACGCGCGCAGACGGCUCAGUAACACGUGGCUAACCUACCCUCAGGACGAGGAUAAACCCUGGGAAACUGGGGCUAAUACUCGAUAGGUGAGUAUGUCUGGAAUGAUUUCUCACUCAAAGGGCUUUAGAAACAUGCUUCUAAAGUCGCCUGGGCAUGGGGCCGCGUCCGAUCAGGUUGUUGGUGAGGUAAUGGCUCACCAAGCCUAUAACCGGUACGGGCCGUGAGAGCGGUAGCCCGGAGAUGGGUACUGAGACAAGGACCCAGGCCCCCACGGGGGCGCAGCAGUCGCGAAAACUUCCGCAAUGCACGAAAGUGUGACGGGGCUACCCCGAGUGCCACYCCGCUGAGGAUGGCUUUUCCUUGGUAUAAUURGCCGAGGGAAUAAGGAGAGGGGCAAGACUGGUGUCAGCCGCCGCGGUUAAUACCAGCUUCUCCGAGGUGGUAGGGAUGAUUAUUGGGCCUUAAAGCGUUCCGUAGCCGGCUUAGCAAGUCUCCUGUUAAAUUCAGCGACCUAAUCGUUGAGCCGCGGGAGAUACUACUAGGCUAGGAGGCGGGAGAGGUCGACGGUACUUCUGGGGUAGGGGUGAAAUCCUAUAAUCCCGGGAGGACCACCAGUGGCGAAGGCUGUCGACUAGAACGCGCUCGACGGUGAGGGACGAAAGCUGGGGGAGCGAACCGGAUUAGAUACCCGGGUAGUCCCAGCCGUAAACGAUGCGGGCUAGGUGUUGGGGUGGCUACGUGCCACUUCAGUGCCGCAGGGAAGCCAUUAAGCCCGCCGCCUGGGGAGUACGGCCGCAAGGCUGAAACUUAAAGGAAUUGGCGGGGGAGCACCACAAGGCGUGAAGCUUGCGGUUC
rnacentral:rRNA from 1 species